AGGAACCUGCCUUGGAGAGGGGAAUAACACUCCGAGAGGAGUGCUAAUACCGCAUGAUGCAGUUGGGUCGCAUGGCUCUGACUGCCAAAGAUUUAUCGCUCUGAGAUGGCCUCGCGUCUGAUUAGCUAGUAGGCGGGGUAACGGCCCACCUAGGCGACGAUCAGUAGCCGGACUGAGAGGUUGGCCGGCCACAUUGGGACUGAGACACGGCCCAG
rnacentral:rRNA from 1 species